rnacentral:lncRNA from 1 species
GUCAUACUAGCGAAGGAAUUACCCAUCUCUCCCCUCCUAGUUCUAGUCUCAUAUCUCAGCCAGGGAUCAUAUCCCUAAGCUUUGAUGCCAACUGUGACUCCCCCAAAAUAUGUAUACAUCACACAUUCUGAGUCGCCAAAUAUAUGGUACAGAAUACAACUACAACUUAAUUAUACAACUGUCAUGCAAAAUAUGACAAAACAUAAGCUGUAAGUUUUAA